rnacentral:lncRNA from 1 species
CAAAAUACAGAUUCCACUGGAGUUACGCAUAUGCUCAAUUUAGGCAUGUGUGUGGCACUUGAGUUGCCAUGGGAACCGCUCAGGUGAGGCCUAAGGAGUGGGAGCAUGGGGCACAGGAGUGGGCUGAUGGGCAGCACCAUGAGGCAAAGUUUGAGCCUGUGAGAUGAGGCUGCUACUCACAGCUGUGCCCAAGCUCCACUUUUUCACUGCCCAGCGCAGCCCUACUGAAGAGUAUGGCUGAGGGAUGCUGCUGUGUAUGAAGUGUAAGCUAAGGGUAGGCAGUUCUGAAUAAUCCUGCCUGAUAACCUACUUACUCCCAGUGCCCAAGUACAUCCGAUGCUGCGACUUCUUGGACAAAACAAAAACUUUCUGCUGACUAAUGUCUCCACUUUGCCCCAACCUGCUGGAUGCUCUGGAAAGGAGUGAGUGAAGAGCAAAUGGCUGGCAUCAAGAAGCUGACAAGACCCAGAGAUUUUUUUUCAUACUUCCUCUUUGCCUCAACUGCGUGCUGUUGGGUAGGAAAUCCACAGCUCAGUAUUGACGUGUGUGAUUCCCAGUUUGUCUUCUGUGUUGGAGUCCAACUGGAACUGUGCACCAGUGAAGGUCUGCUUCCCAUAUAGGGCCUCUCUGAAAUGGAGCACUCAAGAGACAAAGACUUAUUCAUAUCUAAAAGAGGGAAGAGAAUACAGGAACAAAGAGGAAUUUCUACUGUUUCCUGCUUUGGUAUGUUCGCAAAAAUCAGACCUUUCUAGUGAAUGAAUGCCAGUAACAGCUUUUAUAUCUUUAUGUUAAUUAAUUACCUUUCCUUUCUCAUUGAAGCUUUGCUAGCUGCUAUUCUCAAAUAAAUAACAGAUAACAUAAUGAACUCUUCUGAAU